AUGGUUGUCGUCAGCUCGUGUCGUGAGAUGUUGGGUUAAGUCCCGCAACGAGCGCAACCCUUGUCUUUAAUUGCCAUCAUUCAGUUUGGGCACUUUAAAGAGACUGCCGGUGUUAAACCGGAGGAAGGUGGGAUGACGUCAAGUCCUCAUGGCCUUUAUGCCCAGGGCUACACACGUGCUACAAUGGGUGGUACAAAGAGAUGCAAUCUCGCAAGAGCAAGCAAACCUCAAAAAGCCAUCCUCAGUUCGGAUUGGAGUCUGCAACUCGACUCCAUGAAGUCGGAAUCGCUAGUAAUCGCGGAUCAGCACGCCGCGGUGAAUACGUUCCCGGGCCUU
rnacentral:rRNA from 1 species